GCCGGGGUCCAGGGAGCCUGGCCUGAGACCUGCCCAGUGCAUUGAGGGUGCACCUGGAGCCCACCCCACCUGAUGCCCCCACAGCCCUCGCAGGGUCUGACCUCCCAGCAUGCACCUGCCUCUCCCUGCACCCCAGAUGUCCACCCUACCUGUUCCCUGACUUCCUCCAUCCUGUCCAGCAGGAUGGGCUGGACAGUGGGACAGCCUGUGUGCACAUUUUGUGGCAAGUAGGAGUGACACACCAUCCCUGGGAGGCACCAUGGUUCCUGCCAAAUCCAACCCCAGAACUCUGUCCCUGAGGUGGUUUUACCAAAACCCAAAACCCAGAAUUGUGCUUGUGGCUCAGGGGUCAGCACCUGCUAGUACCAGGACACUACUGGGAGGCUGAGACCUGACCGAAGCCCAUGGUGUCUGUGGCCUGAGGACAGGGUGUGUUGGGGCCAUAAGUCCCGGCCACCAAUGGCCAUUGGGUCCUAGGGCCUCAGCCCCAGUGUUUGCCCUUCCCUGGCUCUGGCUCCUUCUGGUUCAGUCCCAUUAGGGCCCUGGAGCCCAAGACCCAGCACCCAGGGUCCCCUCCAGGAAUACUGGCGGCUUGGCUUCCUUUAUCAUGUUUCAUCUGAGAGCAAAAAUGUCAGAACGGAUGCACAGAAAAAUGGCCCAAAUUGUUUAAUAACUAGAAGAAAUAUAGGAGCAGCAAGAGGGUAAUGUGGAGAGGGGAGGGCCUCCAUGACCGGUGUCUGCAGAGCCAGGGGUACAGGCACCCAGUGUUGUGGCCUGGCACCACCGGCCUCUCAGAGCAUGGGUGGCACACUGUCCUUACCCGGAGGACAGCAGGCCUGAUCACCAGCUUUUCUACCUGUCCCUGUAAGCAUCACAUUGCUAGAAGAAAAUCUCAUGCCAGAGCUUGGACCAUCCCUAGCUUGGGGGUUAGGGGUUGUCUUUUGGAGACCUAAAUGAAAAAAUAGGUCCAGAUCAGAGUUCCUGAUGCAGAGCACUCACCCACUCUUUGAAUCGUGGGAGGGGAGGCCUGGUUUUAGAUAAACUUAACCUCUUUGAGGAACCACAGAACCCAAGACUGGAAACCUUCAGAAUCUUCUGGCCCCCAACCCUCCCUGGGGACCGCUGUGGCCUGUCUCACCAGAGCACUCUUCUGUCUGUAGAUGUCUCAGCUGCUCUAUAAGGGAGUCCCAUUUCAGGUGUGGGGCUGGGCAUGGUCACUCCUGCUGGAUGUCUACAAGGUGGAAACUAAGGACCUAGGAAAAUGCCAGAUACAGCCUUUCCACCCUCAUCCAGAGCAGGACAAACAGGCCAGGUGGUGUCAGGAGCCCAGGUCUCCAGCUGGAGGGAACGUCAACCCUGCAGUGGGAGCAGGGGCCCAUCGCACAUCCUAGGCACAGAUGAUAAUGUAGGCACUGUAGGUAAGCUGGGCUUGGUACCCUUCCCUGGCUUCAGAAAGAAGCCAACAAGGAGCAUUUUGCAGAAUGAAACCUUUCUUUCCAGAAGCACUGCUGACUGUAAAUGGUUGCCGUUUGUGGCAGUGAGCAUUUUGUCCAUUCUGAGGUUGGAUUGGUUUCUGCUUUUGGCCUUGCCCUGCCCUACAGACCAUAAAGGAGAACAGCAAGAAGCCCCCAGCAAACAUCCACAGAUGGCCCUGGACAUCAGCCACAUUCUGAGGAACAUGUCAUGUUCUGGGAGGGCUAAGGCAUCGAGUAAGGCCUACGGGGCUGGAGGAUCCCAGGCAAGGUGGGGCAAUCCAGAGCCAUGGGGGCUUCCCAUGGGAAUUGGGAGGUCCCAAGGGAGAGUCAGAGGUUCCACAGGAGGAGUCAGAGAGUCACCAAGGGCUCUCCUGGCCCAAGGAGCAGUCAACACCAUGGACUGAACACUUGCUGGGCUCCAACCCCUGGGCCAGGCUGCCCAUGUGGGGCCAGGAGGCAGCUCAGAGUGGGAGGCAGAGAGAGAAGUGUGCUCAGAGGGCACCUGUAUCUGGAUGUAAUGUGGUCCUGAGACUCUGGCUGGGAAGUGCUUCCAGGGUAUCAUAUGUGUUAUGCAGCUACUUCCUCUCCCCAGCCUUACCCUGUAGGAAUUCUAGUGACUAUGUUGCCACCAUCUUGGAGCUCCAUGCCCUCAUAGUGUAAUGGCACCAGCAGAUCUGCCUGUGCACAGACUUCCUGUACUACCUCACUCCUGAGGGGAGAUGCUUCUGCAGGGCCUGCGACCUGGUGCUCAACUUUAGACACCAUCAUCCUGGAGUGGCACUGCACCCUCACUAGCCAGGGUGUUGACGUCCUCAAGGCCAAGGCCACAUUCAAGACUUUGGACUUCAUUGAUGCACUUGUGCCGAGCAAGGUGGGCAUCUCUGGGAUCUUAAUUCAGGAGGUAGAAUGCAGCUUGAGAUCAAGUGUCUGAUCAAAGAACUUGAACUUGAUCUGGAGGGCUCUGGGGAGCCAUGGAAGGUUCUGGAUAAAGGAGGGACAGUCAGCCACGUUUUAGAGAUGACUGCGGAAGGCUUCCUGGAAGGAGUGAACAAUAGCCAGGAGACCAGGGAGGGAGCUUGUGGGGCAGGUCUGGAGAUGGCAAGGGAGGGAUCCCGCUUGGAUGAAAAGUCUUCAGGGACCAUCUCAGGUUACACUCAGGUGCCCUCUGAGUUAGUGUGUUCUAAGUAAGGGGUUCUAAGCCUCCUAUUGUGGCUCAUCCCUGACAGUGUCAGCACCAGCUCCCCUAACCCCACAGCUCAGGGUCCACUUUGCUUCUGCAUCCUGCAUGUUCCUUUUCCUGCUGAAAAGCAGAUUCCCCAAUGAGCAGCAGAAUCCUGUUUCUCCCUGUAGGCCCCUCUGCUCCUUAUAAGUGGUGUUUUGUGGGAUUCCUCCCUUGGUUUUGGAUGAGAACACCCUUUCCCAUUCCACAGGGAUUGUUUCUGUGGACCUUAUCCCAGGUUUUCCCCUGGUCGGGCACCGGGCAGGUGGGGGUGGUGGGACCAACUCUUUAGAACCAGCAAUGCCAAACAGAUCCCACUCAGGGGAAGUCCAUGCUAAGUGUCAUGGGUCCUAUGGAAUUUUCUGAAGCUUUCCUUUUCUCCCCCACCUUCAACCAGCUUAUCUGAUCUUCUGGGAUCUCUACUAGGAUGCUGGCAGCCCAGCCAGCUGGUCUGGCCCUGGACGUGCCUUCAGGGGCUGGGUAUGCUUCAUGACCUGUGUUGUGGUGAGUGGUAAGCAGCACCUGCUUCUAGCUUCACUGUUGGGCCAGAUUUCAUCCCCACCAUGGCUCUUCAUUGUGGCUGCUUUCUGCUCCUUCCAUGGACCCUGCGUGGAAUUGCCCCAUGUUUCUGUUUGGGCACCACUGAGGAAGGAAGCAUGAAGGACGCACAGGUCAGGCCAUUCUGUUGCCCACCUCGUGCUGGGUCUUUACUCCUGGGAUGGCUUCAGGGGCAGCUCCUUUUCCAUGCCUCCCCCCACCCCACAUCUCUCAGGUUGCUGCUCAAAGGUCACGUCUUGGAGGGGUCUCUCCCUGUCACUGUGUUUGGAACAGCUCCCUCAGUUUCUUUCUAGCUCAUCUCACUCUGGUAAUGUCUUUCAUUACCAUCACCAUCUGACCUGGUCUUACGACCUGUUAGCUUCCUUCAUCAGACAUGAGCACCAGGAUGGCAGGGGCCUCAUCUGUCUUGUUCCUCCUGUGGCCUGGGUCCUAGCACCAUGUCUGGUACAGUGUAGGUGCUCAAGGGAAGUUUACUGUUGAAGAACUGUCUACCUGGGAGAGGUUACUGUUAGUCUAACCUGCACUAUUUGGUAAACCCCUUGCUGUUUUGCAGAUCCUGGUUGGAGUAAAACAUUCCAUGGGAACUCGGGCUGUGAGAAACGUCCUAACCACCUGACUGCAGAAACAUCACAUCCUGCUGGGCAAAGGCCCAACAGCCUGACUUCAGGAACAUCCUUAUCAUCUUCUACUGAGCAGCAAGCUAUACUGUCCAGAGCCCUCCCUCCCAGCCCCAUGAUUACCCCAGCCUGUGAGCGGCAGUGGGCGCUGACACUAAGCUGGUUUCCCCCUCCGCAGGGUUUUGCUAGUAAUAAACCUGUGUUGCUGUUGAAGCGGCCAGUCUCUGUGUGUGUGUGUGUGUGUGUGUGUGUGUGUGUGUGUGUGUGUGUGUGUCUUUAACUCUUGCCUUGCCUUCAAAUCCUUACAAUAACUCCACUUCUCCAUUUUAUCAUGGAGGAUACGGGACUCAAGGAGAGCAAGUAACUUACCCAGAAUUACACAGCCAGUGAGUCACAGAGUCUGAACUAGAACUCAGUUCAGCUGAAUCCAGAACUCCCAUCUUCCUGAGAGUGCAGGAAACGAAAGGUGGAUAUGCAGCUGGUGAGCAGCCCACAUGCUUUUUCUAGGAGACCCCAAGGUGGGCUCCUGGGAAUUAUGUCUUCAUGGUCACAAAAGAAGGACUGCUCACCUGUGCUGUGCAUCAGCUAAGUAAGUGUCCCCACUGUCCCAAAUCUGCAUUUAUUUUUAUUAUUUUAUUUAUUUAUUUUAGUUUGAGAUAAUGUCUCACUCUGUUCCCCAGGCUGGAGUGCAGUGGUGUGAUCUCAGCUCACUGCAACCUCCACCUCCUGGAUUCAAGCUAUUCUCCUGCCUCAGCCCCUGAGUAGCUGGGACUACAGACGUAUGUCCAGCUAAUUUUUGUACUUUUAGUAGAGAGGGACUUUUACUAUGUUGGCCAGGCUAGUCUUGAACUCCUGACCUCAAAUGAUCCACCCACCUCAGCCUCCCAAAGUGCUGGGAUUACAGGCAUGAGCUACUGUGCCAAGCCUCAAAUCCUCACUUCUUUUCAAAGUUUUUUUUUUUUUUUUUUUGAGAUGAAGUCUCACUUUUGUCACCCAGGCUGGAGUGCAAUGGUGUGAUCUUGGCUCACUGCAGCCUCCACCUUCCGUGUUCAAGCAAUUCUCCUGCCUUAGCCUCCUGAGUAGCUGAGAUUACAGGUGUGCACCACCACGCUUGGCUAAUUUUUGUAUUUUUAGUAGAGAUGGGGUUUCAACCAUGUUGGCCAGGCUGGUCUCGAACUCCUGGUGUCAAGUGAUCCACCCGCCUCGGCCUCCCAAAGUGCUAGGAUUACAGAUGUGAGCCACCACACCCCACCUGAAGAAGCAUUUUAAAUUUCAGUGAAGGUCUCUGAAUUGGGGAGAAUGAAAACACACAGAGGUUUGGGAUGAAAGUGGGCAUGAUGGGGAAGCAGAGGGGCUUUCCCCUAGUGUGUUUCUCUUCUCUGUGGAGAGUGAUGAAAACAAGAGGGACAUGAGGGGUGGGAACUGGAAGACUCUUCACUGCUAGAUUUGCCACAAAUGGGUGCAGAAACUUUCCUCAUUAUCCAUAAAUUUCAGUUUUUUCAUUCGUAAAUGUUAAUGCUGGGAACAGAUCAUCUCUUAGGUUCCAUUUAGAGCCCAUAGAGCCCAAUGGUGAAGGGCCUGGUCCCAGGAGGCAUGCUGAACAGAGGCUGAUCCUGUGCUGAGCAGAUGCUGAUACUGUGCCUUUCAGGUUACUCCAGGCCCCUGCUCUCAAAGGCUCCAUGUGUGUGAGGAAGCGGCUGCAGAACAGCAGAAUUCCCUUUGACUGAGUCCUGCUCUGUCGCCCAGGCUGGAGUGCAGUGGCGCAAUCUCCGCUCACUGCAAGCUUCGCCUCCCGAGUUCCCGCCAUUCUCCUGCCUCAGCCUCCCAAGCAGCUGGGACUACAGGCGCCCGCCAGCACACCCAGAGACAAGGGUCUCACUUUGUUGCCCAGGUUAGUCUCAAACUCCCAAGCUCAAGCUAUCCUCCUGUUUUGGCCUCCCAAAGCAUUGGGAUUACAGGCGUGAACCACAAUUCCUGGCCUACAGUUUUCUUCUUACGGGCUUUGUACAUUUCUUGCCUCCUGGUAUUUUUAAGGAAAUGUAAGAGUGUGAAUCAGGUACUGAUGGUUUUGACUUCAUUAUGAUCAGCAUCUUUGGCUUCCAUCAGAGUAGACACUGAACGUUUUCAUCCAACCGGAUCAUGAGUGCAUUAACACCAGAAAAAUAAUCAACAUCUUCACAACAAUGGCUGUUCCUCUAGAGCCUCCCAUGAGACCGGAACCAUCACAACUGCGCUGCUGCUUAUGAUUUGCUUCAUUGUAUUUAAUGUGAACAACUCGUGCCACAGCAUUUACCUAAGUAUGGUGAAGAAAAGGGAUCAGUUGUGGACCGUCUCAGACUUGAUUUCCUCAUGUUACCCCAUUUUUUGGUCCAUUUUUGCUCAUUGGUAGAGAAAGUCAUAUCCUGAAUUCAAAAUCUAUGAAGUGGAGAAAGUCAUCUUAUCCCAUAGAUGUGCCAAAGUAAACUUUCACCAAUAUAAACUUCUUCCAAAACAACAUUCUAUAAAGAGUUGGUAUUCUGAAGAAAUGAUGGGAUUUAGGUCUGAAAAAUGAGAUAUUUCUCAGUUCACUGCACGAAAUAUAAUCUAAUGACCUUUACCUUCAGUAAAGACAAUAUUGCAUAGCUUAGUAUUUAAUGUUUGUAUACAUAGAUAUAAUCAUUUAAUAGACAGGUAGAUAAUUUUUCAUGUCAGAUGUCAUAAUGGACUUCUUGCAACUAGUCAUUCAAUAUCUGUAUUUUUCUUACUUUAAUUACUCUGUGUUCAGCAUGAAAAAUCAUUUCAAAAGGAGAUCAGGCACUCCAGGAAGAAGAGCAUCACUCCCCACCUCUAAACUGUGGGCUUCACAUAAUGACAUCCUACCAAGAACUCAGUAUAGCAAAGGAGGAAAAAGAGUAACUUCACAUUGGAGAAACCUAACAAACACUGUCUCAGCCAGGUGAUCAAGGCCAGUGUGAGCAUUGAUCAGUCAAGUUGAAAGUGUGUAUCAUACGACAGGAUGAGAAUGGCAUUUUACCUUGACAUGUUCCCUCCCAAAACUAAUAAUCCCACUACAUCAGACAAACCUCAGUUGAGAAACAGUUUCCAAAAACACCUGACUAGUACCCCCUAAAACCAUCAAGGUCAUCAAAAACAAUGUAGGCCUGAGAAAGGAUCACAGCCGGGAAGAACCUAAGGACUCAGUGUCCUGUGGUAUCCUGAUAUGGAAUCCUGGAACAGAAAAGGACAUUAAGUAAAAACCAAGGAAAUAGAAAUAAAGUAUAAACUUAAUAACGUAUCAAUAUUGAUUCAAUAAUUGUGACAAAUGUAACAUAGUAAUGUAAGACAUUAAAAUGGGGAAAAUUGGGUAUGGUGCAGAGGAGAACUCUGUGUAUUCUAUUUGCAACUCUUCUGUAAAUUUAAACCUAUUUGAAAAUUAAAAAUUUAUUUUUUAAAAAGAAAACUAAGAAACCUAUAUACUUAAAUUUGAGGAAACAAAAAUUACUUUCCUUGCCUAAAGUAUGUGUUCUACAUUUUAGGAUUUACCUGAGAUCCUAAUGAAUAGACUUUUUUAAUGUAUACAAUCUUAUGUCACUAAUUUAAAUGUAAAUAUUUAAGAGUUUAAAGGUUCAGUCUAUUAAUUUUAUUAACUUGGCCCUUGAAGAAGACUCAUAUAAGAAAGAGGAUGUUUUGACUUAAAUUAUUUCUGUAUAAAGCACUCUUUGAUGAGGACAGUACACACUUCAUAUAAUAACCAGCACAAAAUAAAAUUCCAGAUAAAUAUUCAUACUAUCAAGCAUGUAAGAAAAAAACAAUGCAGGCUUUUGCUUAAUAUGCUAAAACUUUCUAAGAUUUCCCAGAGCCAAGCACAUUUGUCUGAAGUUCAGUUUUUAAAAGUUAUUUUAACUCUGUCCCCAGCUGACAUGGUUGAUGAGUUGGAAAUGUCAUAAAUGAAGUCAUAUUUCAGCAAGUACAGUAGGAACGGAAGAGAUAAAGGUCACAGCAAUUUUAGUGAUGAAAAUUUAACUUCAUUUAGUACUGUGUCUCAAGUGUUAAGCUAAGAUAGAAAUACUGUUGGUUCAUCAACAUAACAGCAUUUUGGUUCCCUGACCCUCUGCUAUGUAAACAGCCCUCCCAUCUUGCACAAAUGCAUGCACCCGUGUAAAUCUAGAGAAGAGAAGAUGAUGGUGGUUGCUACGGGUGAGUUGGAGAUUUGAGUCUCAGAAUUUGGGUACAGGGACUCCUGGUUUUUAAAAGAAUGGAUUGGGGGAGAAAAUUUGAAUUUUUAGUCUCUUUUUGUAAUACUUCAGGAUCUUAAAUUCUAAUGUCAUAAACCCAACUUGAAUUAACUUGGGUAAAAGAUGACUUUGUUGACUCACAAAAGUCAGAGGAAGAACACAGAGCAGCUAUAAUGUAGGAGGGUGACAAAAUAAUUUUGGUUAAAACUAGAGCUAGAUAUCGGCUGUUGUUAUUUCCCAGCUUUACUUCAUUUUUUUAAUGAUACAAUAUUCUACACUCCCAGGAAGAAGUUCCAGUUGGCCCCUGAUGGAGAAGUGCUCAUGUGAGGUCCAUCUAGCUGUAGACAGGGAAUAAAUUCAUGUGAGAAUCUAUUACACCAGCAGGAACCAUUUUGGUCAGGUGGAAAAUUACCAGAUGGGGCUUACCAUCUCACAGAGAAAGUGUCUUGGGGUGAUGUUCAGGUGAUAUACAGGCAAUGUCUAAUUUAGAACUUAGUAGAAAAAUUGGCCAGGCACAGUGGCUCACGCCUGUAAUCCCAACACUUUGGGAGACUGAAGCUGGUGUAUUACUUGAGGUCAGGAGUUCAACACCAGCCUGGCCAACAUGGUGAAACCCUGUGUCUACUAAAAAUACAGAAAUUAGCCAGGCAUGAUUACGGGUACCUGUAAUCCCAGCUACUUGGGAGGCUGAGCUGGAAGAAUCACUUGAACCCGGGAGGCGGAGGUUGCAGUGAGCCGAGAUCACGCCACUGCACUCCAGCUUGAGAGACUCCAUCUGAAAAAGAAAAAUCAGAGGCUAACCCAUAUGACAACUUUGUCUUAUUGGAGCUAUUGAUGAAUGUCUGAGUUUUGACAUACUUCAGCAAUGAUGGAGAUAUUGCUGCACUAACAGUGUAAGUUGAAGGCCCUAUGACAUACUUUGAAGGGAAUAGUUCCUUUCUCCAGUUCAGACCAUUUUACUUGAGUCAGUCAAGUGCAUACACAAGGGGUUUUACAGAAAUAAAAAUAAUUUCAUUUAUGUACUCACAAUAUACUUAUUAAGUUGUUGACAUACUUGAGGCCUGCUCUAGGAACUGGUGAUACAAUGAUGAACAAGAUAGGUUGUGUCCUUUUCCACAUGAAGAACAUAUUUUAGUUGGUGAAACAGACAAUAAAAAAGGAAAACCUAUGUGCGUUGUAGAGAUUGUGACAACUUUUACAUGAAAACAAAAAUACAGAAACUGUAAAAGAAAAGGGAAAGGAUUUCG